GAUGAACGCUAGCGGCAGGCCUAAUACAUGCAAGUCGAACGGUCCACUUCGGUGGAUAGUGGCGCACGGGUGCGUAACACGUAUGCAACCUACCUUACAUUGGGGGAUAGCCUUUCGAAAGGGAGAUUAAUACCGCAUAAGACAGUAACAUGGCAUCAUGUAGCUGUUAAAGAUUUAUCGAUGUAAGCUGGGCAUGCGUCCAAUUAGUUAGUUGGUGAGGUAAUGGCUCACCAAGACGAUGAUUGGUAGGGGAACUGAGAGGUCAAUCCCCCACACUGGCACUGAGAUACGGGCCAGACUCCUACGGGAGGCAGCAGUAGGGAAUAUUGGGCAAUGGACGCAAGUCUGACCCAGCCAUGCCGCGUGCAGGAAGAAGGCGUUCUGCGUUGUAAACUGCUUUUAUAUAGGAAGAAACGACCCUUGCGAGGGGCAUUGACGGUAUUAUAUGAAUAAGCACCGGCUAACUCCGUGCCAGCAGCCGCGGUAAAAC
rnacentral:rRNA from 1 species